CAAAUAUUUAUAAUUAAAUGUGUUGUUCUUAUUUAAAAUGAUAAAAAGGACAAAUAAUUUUGCUGUUGUUUUAUUUCUUUCCCAACAAAAUUGUUUGCCAUAGGAGCACGACUUUGAUGUGCGCCAACUUAUAAGUAAGAGUGUGGUCAGCUUGUUAAAAUGUUUAUGUAAGAUAUACGAAGACAAAAGGAAUAUAUAUAUUUAUAAGUGUUUUGUUUUUAUUUUAAUUCCGAC
rnacentral:lncRNA from 1 species